rnacentral:rRNA from 1 species
AUGGCGCCCCGGACGAACUUGCAGGAUGGUGUCGCGUCGCCGCCCGCCACGAAGCCACGGAGCUCCGCCCGUGCACAACUGAUGGCGGUGAUGGCGACGGCGACCCAAAAGAAGAGGAAAGUGGACGACGCUUCUAGAUGUGUGAAGAAGAAUCCAGCAGCGCCUCCGGCCGCGCCUCCACCGCCCGAAGCACCUGAUAGCUCGCAAUUUGUUGCGCCAGCGAGCGAUGCGCACAUGGUGUUUGAUGAAAUGCCCACAAGUGAAUCACACAUAUACGUCAACUAUGGGUGUUGGCUCCAACAAUUCCCAUCCCCUGGUGGUAGCCGAGGCCGGCCCUCUGCGGCGGCCGUAGCCGCCGGCAUUGUCGCCCCGCGCCUACCCUGGGUCGAGUCGCCUGGGACGGCUCCGCCCGUCAGAUCCAGUCGCCUCGGUCCUGGGUCGGAGCCAACUCCUCCGAUUUGGCGGCUGGUGGGUCGGGGUUCGCCGGAUCCGCCCGGAUCUGGCCGACGUGGCCUUGCCUCGUCCUACGCGGCUUGGGUUUUCAUGGUGUGGUGCUCCCUAGUGGCGGCGGUGUGGGUCUUUCUCCAUGUUUCGACGGGAUGUGUGCGGUGGGUGGAUGCCGGGGCGGCGGCCUCGGGCGGUGUGGAUGGCGUUGCCUUUUCGACGGGCGACAGUCGUGGGUGCUGGUGGUCCGCGACUUCGGCCGUGCGGGCGGCGAGGUCUCGGUGGACGUCUACUACAGUGGGUCGGGGUGCCCCAUCACCCGGCGUGCCUGCUUUGAUGAAGUCCAACGCCUUCUUCGGCGGCGUGCGCUCCCCUGGCCAGCGUCGUACCCUCGUCGUGCUCCUUCUUGAAGGCGUCGCCCGGGGUUCCCGGAAGCAUGGUGGGCGCUUUGCGGUGCGUGUGAGGUGUUUGGCGGCGGCAAUGUGUGCGGCGUUUCAUCCAUUCUACCGCAGGUCUUCGUCCAGUGGUAGCGCUCCUUCUGCUUGGAGAUGGACUAGCGUAGGUGGUGGUCGUCGGGGUGAGGGUAUGGUCGAUGCACCGAAAGGAAGGGCGUGCAACUACACCGUGGAGGAAGACAUCUUGCUAUGUAAGACAUGGUUGAAUGUGUCUACGGAUGCCACCGUUGGGACGGACCAAACUAGAGAUACAUAUUGGUUUAGGAUGAAGGAGUACUUUGAUGCACACAACAAGAGUGGAAUUGAGCGCACCGAUAGAUCUCUUUGCCCCCGGUGGUCGACGAUCAACAAAGAUUGUCAAAAAGAUAGGCUCAAUAUUGCACAAAACUUGUUUCGAGGAGAAGAGAAGAAGACCAAGAAAGGCAAGGUUAAUAAAGUGAGAGCAUUUCUGUUGCCCGAUUGCUAUGAUGUAUUGAAGGAUGAAGAGAAAUGGAAGAACCGUCUCCGCGUGGCCCCAAUCCCCCAUCUCAUCUCUCUCACACACACCGCAUAUCCCCCAGCGAAACCUAAGCCACAUGCCGCCCCUGCCGCCGACCUUGCUGGUCGAUUUGCUUGCGCCGCCGUAUGCUCCUUCCUCGACUUGCCUGGCGCCGCCGCCGUCCCGACUCUGACCAGCCUCGCGCCGCCACGGCGUCCGGAUCUGACCAGCCUCGCGCCACCACCUCUCCAGACUACGACCAGUCUCGCGCCACCACGGCCUUCGGCCCAGAUCUACCUCCCGUCGCCAAGGCCUCCGAGGGGAGGUACUCUACAGUCUGAGGGGCCGCCCCGUAACCUGCAGACCGAGGAGGCGACCUACCAUACUCUGCCAAGGAGACGCCCCACUGCCCCUCUUCCAACACCGGCGACGCCUCCCCUACCUCAUCUGUCCUACCCCGUUUCCAAAUCUGGCUACUGGCAAAAGCUGGCGGAAACAGGAGAAGAAAGUGAGGUCCUUGUGUAUGAUGAUGGCUUGCCAAUGUUGCAGAAAACAAGGUCUCAGUGCAGCAGUGUCACUCUAAACGAUGGUUUGCUUUUCAGUCCUUGCAUUUUAUAUGUGUAUAGCCGCACCCCCAUUAUCAUGCAAAAUAGUAUCAAGUUCAGAGACUUGAUCAUGGAAGCUAGCUGA